rnacentral:pre_miRNA from 1 species
GUUUUUAAACUGUCAAAAGAAGGCUUUCUUGACGGUUUUAAAACCGUCAAGAAAGCCUUCUUUUGACAGUUUAAAA